GUGAGCGUUGGUGCGCUUCAAAAGGGGUCGUUGCAGAUUAUGAUAAACUGAUACAGUUAAUGCUGAUUGAGCAGUUCAAAGGAUGAAUCCCUGAAGAUACCGUGGACACGUUCAGAAACAUCCCAGACCCUGGCACCUGGAAGGGCGCAGUUGUACCAGACAGUGGAAGAGGCGACUACAGACAUGAAGUCCAGAGGGUUUCCCGUCAACGUGACCAAACCG